GCUGGGUGCGGUGGCUCACACCUGUAAUCCCAGCACUUUGGGAGGCCGAGGCGGGUGGAUCACUUGAGGUCAGGAAUUCGAGACCAGCCUGGCCAACACAGUGAAACCCCGUCUCUA
rnacentral:SRP_RNA from 1 species